rnacentral:rRNA from 1 species
UACGGAGGGUGCGAGCGUUGUCCGGAAUCAUUGGGCGUAAAGGGCGCGUAGGUGGCCCGGUCAGUCUUUGGUGAAAGCGCGGGGCUCAACCCUGCGUCGGCCAGGGAUACUGCCGCGGCUCGAGCACUGUAGAGGCAGGCGGAAUUCCGGGUGUAGUGGUGAAAUGCGUAGAGAUCCGGAGGAACACCAGUGGCGAAGGCGACACGCUGGGCCGUACCUGACACUGAGGCGCGAUAGCAUGGGGAGCAAACAGG